rnacentral:misc_RNA from 1 species
GUUCCGUAGGUGAACCUGCGGAAGGAUCAUUAUUGUAUAACCGAGGUGCGAGGGCUGUCGCUGUCCCGAAAGGUCGUGCACGCCCGAGUGCCCUCACACACAUCCAUCUCACCCCUAUGUGCACCACCGCGUGGGUCCCCCUUUGGCUUGUUCGGAGGGGGGCUUACGUUUUCACACAAACUUUGUAUGCAGUGUAGAAUGUAUUUUUUGUUUUUGCGAUCACGCAAUCAAUACAACUUUCAACAACGGAUCUCUUGGCUCUC